UACGGAGGGUGCAAGCGUUAUCCGGAUUUACUGGGUUUAAAGGGUGCGUAGGUGGUCAUUUAAGUCAGCGGUGAAGUCUCCGGGCUUAACUCGGAAAUUGCCAUUGAUACUAUUUGUCUUGAAUUAUCUGGAGGUGAGCGGAAUAUGUCAUGUAGCGGUGAAAUGCUUAGAUAUGACAUAGAACACCAAUUGCGAAGGCAGCUCACUACGGAUAUAUUGACACUGAGGCACGAAAGCGUGGGGAUCAAACAGG
rnacentral:rRNA from 1 species